rnacentral:rRNA from 1 species
ARUNUCUUUAUUGGGACUUGUAUGAACGAUUGGAUGAAAUAUAACNGUCUCUUUAUUAUAUAUAUAUAUAUAGAAUUUAAUUUUUUAAUUAAAAAGUUAAAAUAAUUUUAAAAGACGAGAAGACCCCAUAGAGUUUUAUAUACUAAUUAAUUAGUUAUAUAUAUAUAUUUAUUUAUAAUUAAAAUUAUUUAAUAUAUUAUGUUGGGGUGAUAGAAAAAUUAAUUUAACUUUUUUUUUUAAUAUAUACNAAAAUAAAUGAAUUUAAUGAUCCAAAAUUUUUGAUUAUAAGAUUAAAUUACCUNGGGGAUAACAGCGUAAUUUUUUUUUUUAGUUCAAAUAAAAAAAAAAGUUUGCGACCUCNAUGUNGGAUUAANANAAAAUUUAAANGC